GGCGCCGUGGCUUAGUUGGUUAAAGCGCCUGUCUAGUAAACAGAAGAUCGCGAGUUCGAAUCUCGCCGGGGCCU
rfam:Bombyx mori DNA, contig: Bm_scaf51_contig26537, strain: p50T/Dazao, build 2, whole genome shotgun sequence.